UGGGCAUCAGUAUUAUUUUAUGCAUGCAUAUAUACUUUUGAUCUGAUUUUUAUCAUACAAGGCCAUCAAUCUCUAACACUAUCAAAGCCCAAAGCCUCGUAUCUUAUAUUAGGGCCCAUGUUAAAAAAAAAAAAGACAAAACAACGGUUGCUAAAGCUUUUGGUAUUGUAUGCUUGAUCAAAAGAACCAGUUCAGAGUCUACAGAUCCUUCAACUGAAAACUUGCAGUCUAAGUUCCACGAAAGAAAACCCUCAACGCCACCUCUUUUUGGGAGGCAAGUACAUAAUCAUCCUCGUUACAGCCAAAGAAAGAACUAGCUUAUCUCCACCACACAUUCCGUCCAACAAACGUCCACUUCAACCUGAAACCGACCAUUUUGGAGUCUCAUCUUCUAAAAGACAAGACGGGAAACAUGAUAAAAAUAACAGCUUUCUUGAAUGUUGGAGAUGCAGUUACCCACCAUGAACUUUAAAAAUCAGUGUAGUUUUAUAAUGAUUUUUCAAUCAGUUUUUAUAAAUUUGCCCCGGAUUAAAGUUAUUUCUUGAUCCUCCACAGCCCACAGGUUACGUAACGCCUGAAUUAGACUGACAUAAUUUAAGGGUCAAAGAAAAAAAGCGAUGUUUACGGACUCGAACUCCUGGCUGGUCGCAUACCCGUGGAGUACGGUAAAGACAGCUUCGUGA
rnacentral:lncRNA from 1 species